CCGGAAUUGAGUCUGGAAACACCACCGGGGACAGGCUGCUCCCUGGGCCCUUGAGUGAUCGAGGGGAGUGAAGUGCUAGGACAUACGGCACACCCCUACAGAGGGCCACUUCUCCAAGGUCAAGAAAUGGAGAACAUGUGAACACCGAUAACCAUGUUGCCAAAGAGAGUGAGAGGGAACAGAAGAGAUGUAUGAGGAGCGAUGGGACUUCAGAGGACUAAGAAAUCACUUCUGAUUGAUGGAUUUGGGGAAGGAUUCAUGGAGAAGGCAGCCUUCAACCUGGUUUUUGAAGGAGGACAUGGUUUGGGGAAAGGGUUUUCCAAGCUUACAGGCCGUCCCAAGGGGAUGAAGGGUUGACUCCAUCACUGGAUGCUGUUACUAUGGUGAGGCUGGUGAUCACUGAGGGGACGCUUUUCACUGGAGUCCUGAUGAUGAAAUCCAGAUUUCAAAUGCUGAAUGUGUCAGGGGAAAAGGGAAACUCAAUAGCAUGCCCAUUUUCAGGAUACUGUGUGCCUCAACCCAAGAAUGGAACACAGUACAUUUGAGAAUGGUUUCAACAAGAUGGUGAUUAAAGAGUAUUUUUUGUAAAC